GUAAAAUAACUGCUAUUAUGACGACCCAUGUUUAUUGAAGGAUGUUUGGUUUAAAGAUCAAGCUGCAAUUACAUAGGAAAUUAGGGUAUAAUGUGCUUCGCUACCUAACUCAUGAAUGUAAUACCAUGUACUGUACGACAUGUCUGAAUGUGACACACUUUCCUUGGUCAAGGUCUUCGUGACAUCCGCGUCAGUCCCGGACACACCCCUUAUUUUGCCGACCAUUUCUGGGGCGACUACCCUUCGCGAUGUCGUCGGCGAAGAUCCUAUUGAGUGGAGCUACAACGACCUCAUGCGCCGGGCUUGAAAUGUUGGUACCGAUACACCCAUGUUAAUUGCCCCGUUUGUCAUAUGGAUUGAAUGUCGAACCUGUCUUUGGAUGGAUUGUGUUGAGUUUUUGUUGAACUAUGUCUGGAAUUGAUGCGUAGACCUUUGUGGUUUGAAUUCGUUUGGU